CUGCGUUUUUUUCCACAGACUCUGGUGUGGCAGCAGUGCUCUGCGGCUAAAACUGUGUUUUUUCCACAGACUCUGGUGUAGCAGCAGUGCUCUGCGGUUGGAUGAGUGUUCUUAGUGUUAUUUAACGUAAAGGAUGUUCAGAUGUCAGGAGGCGGAGGCAGUCAGGAGGCUUUCACAAGUGUGUAAAUGUGAGAUUGAAGCAAUGGAGACACCGCUGUGAGUCCGAGGACACAGAGUCCGAGCUGCAGAGGAUGUUGGUUCAUCAUCAGAGAGAAGAAGAAGAAGAACACUGUGUGAUGGAGGAGAGAGUGAGUGAAGAUUCAGGGAAGGAAACCCCAGUUUGUCCCUCUGAUGUAAUCUUUGGUAUUACAUUUAGACGUUUGCACAAUGAUCACAUCCUGUUCACAGAAAUAUCCCCCUUAAAGAGUACUGUACACCAAAUUCAGUUGUUUAACUCAGUAAAUGCGGCCACGUGUCUCACCGUUCAUUGUAGCAGCAGGUUUUUGUUCUCUUACAGACAAAAUCCAGGAAUUACGUCCUCUAGACCAAAAAAAUAAAAAUCUGUAAACAUCUGACGUGUUGUACUGCGUUACAUAACGUCACAUGACUGCAGAACCAAAAGUCAUAUUAGUUCUAUCAUUAGAAUGAUUUCAGGGUGUGCGUCCAAAUGUAACACAAAUUUUAACUGACUUUCCAGAAAAUGCUCAAGUGAAAAUGUGAAUUAAUGCUGGUAAGAUUAGUGGACUCUCGUCGUCAUGGUAACAAUAAGAACCAGGCGGUCAUGGUUUAAGAAACCAACGUUAACUGUUGGCAGGAAACAGGAAGUGAACAGCUGGUGUUACAGGCUGAUGUUGACCCAUCCAUCCAGCCCGACCUCUUUAACAACGUCACCUGACCUCCUCCUUUACUCCCGACACACGAGAGCCAUAACUCCUGCGGCCACUGGAGGGCGCUGUCGGUUGAACGUAAACAGAAGCUGCUUUGGGGCGCAUAAAAAGCUUCCGAGCAUAUUAAAAUAAACUGCAGCGAUGCAGCGUUUGGUCGAAAAGACGUAGCUCAAUGCUGGAAAUGUUCUGAAAAUACCUGCACUACCCCAACUCUGUUUCCAUGGCAGGUAAAAGACACUUGACACUCCACCUGUCCACACACGUGCAGUGAACCCCAUGACAGACUGCGGGGUGAGUUGUUCCAAACCGGAGACCGUGGCUAACUUCCUGCUCUGAAUAUGCAGCAUAUCUUCAAAGUCCUCGCACAGCAGCGGCCUACCUGCACAGGUGUCGUGUUUGGCCGAUUAGGCUAACACCUGUGUGUGCUUUAACUCUGCUGUGCUGGACAAACAUGGACAACUUAGACUUUUUAUCAGUGCAUGGACUUCAGUGACCUCAGGUAACUUCAGCCGGAGCAGAGGUCUGAGCACCUGUGGGGGCCGCAGGGCCUCAAAUAAAAUGCUCAAUGAAACAUAAAUCAGGGGAGAGUUCAAUUUUAAGAGUCUGACAACAGUUUCACAUCAUCGGCCUGCAGGAGGUCAGAGAGAGCGCUGAUGUCAUCACGAGGAGGUGUGACGUCACCCUGAUAAAUCUCUGCGUUCAACACACCUGCAGGCUGUCAGCUGUAAAGAUGCACCAGUAAAUACACAGAGCCGGCGGGUAGUUCAGGGGGGCCAGGGAGAAUGAAUAAUUGACAACACAUAUAUACACCACCUGUGGCUACUUCGCUGGGCAGGUAUCAAAUACGCAGCGCUGGGAACGCUGGGAGAGUUGUGCAUUCCCAGCAAGUAGACAGAGCCGGUGGGUAGUUCAGGCGUCCUGGGAUUGUUUGGUGGCAGCAGUAGCUCAGCUGGUAGUUCCCUGUCUCCGGUUCGGACCGCGGUACGGCGCGUGGACUCCUGAGCAAGGCACCAAACCCCUAACAGGUCGGGACGCCGUGUGUGUAUUUCGGGUGUGUGUGUGUAUUUCGGGUGUAUGUGUGUGUGUAAAAAAUAAUAAAGAAAGUAAUUCUU